rnacentral:rRNA from 1 species
CAGUCGCCGCGGGAAUACGAAGGGGGCUAGCGUUGUUCGGAAUUACUGGCGUAAAGGGCGCGUAGGCGGCCAUUCAAGUUAGAUGUGAAAGCCCUGGGCUCAACCUAGGAAUUGCAUUUGAUACUGUUUGGCUUGAGUUCGGGAGAGGUGAGUGGAAUUCCCAGUGUAGAGGUGAAAUUCGUAGAUAUUGGGAAGAACACCAGUGGCGAGGGCGGCUCACUGGACCGACACUGACGCUGAGGCGCGAAAGCGUGGGGAGCGAACAGGAUUAGAUACCCCCGUAGUCCCUGUCUCUUAUACC